UCCUCGUUAGUAUAGUGGACAGUAUUUCUGCUUGUCACGCGGAAGACCGGGGUUCGAUUCCCCGAGGGGGAG
rfam:Tetraodon nigroviridis, WGS project CAAE01000000 data, contig: CNS0BS0T, chromosome: undetermined